CCUACGGGGGGCAGCAGUGGGGAAUCUUGCACAAUGGAGGAAACUCUGAUGCAGCGAUGCCGCGUGAGUGAAGAAGGCCCUUGGGUUGUAAAGCUCUUUCGUCGGGGAAGAAAAUGACUGUACCCGAAUAAGAAGGUCCGGCUAACUUCGUGCCAGCAGCCGCGGUAAUACGAAGGGACCUAGCGUAGUUCGGAAUUACUGGGCUUAAAGAGUUCGUAGGUGGUUGAAAAAGUUAGUGGUGAAAUCCCAGAGCUUAACUCUGGAACUGCCAUUAAAACUUUUCAGCUAGAGUAUGAUAGAGGAAAGCAGAAUUUCUAGUGUAGAGGUGAAAUUCGUAGAUAUUAGAAAGAAUACCAAUUGCGAAGGCAGCUUUCUGGAUCAUUACUGACACUGAGGAACGAAAGCAUGGGUAGCGAAGAGGAUUAGAUACCCCCGUAGUC
rnacentral:rRNA from 1 species